UACGUAGGGUGCGAGCGUUGUCCGGAAUUACUGGGCGUAAAGCGCACGUAGGCGGCUUUCUAAGUCGGGGGUGAAAUCCUGGAGCUCAACUCCAGAACUGCCUUCGAUACUGGAAAGCUCGAGUCCGGGAGAGGUGAGUGGAACUGCGAGUGUAGAGGUGAAAUUCGUAGAUAUUCGCAAGAACACCAGUGGCGAAGGCGGCUCACUGGCCCGGUACUGACGCUGAGGUGCGAAAGCCAGGGGAGCAAAGCGGGAU
rnacentral:rRNA from 1 species